ensembl:lncRNA
CCUUUCGUUCCCCUGUAAUAUACCAUAAUGAUCAAAGAAUUUUUGUGAAAGGUACAGCAAAAGGAGGUUGAUUUUUUUUUUUGUUAGACACAGGUGCAGAAAUUAUGGUGAUUCUGACUGCAUUAGCCAGAAGCCGUACGAAACUGAACAUACGAAGCCAAACAUACGAAGCUAAGCACGCGCAUACGCAGAUAUCAUCCCUAAACCACGCUGGAUUUUAUUGAUUCUCUGCGAUGUGUGAAAUAAGCAAUAUUAUCUUCGAGAUGCAUUGGUAACUCGGCUGCAGAAAGUUUCCAAUUUGUACUGAAAGAUAUUGCCGUACGAGCCCAUGGACGUGAAUAGCCAGUUGCAGAGAGGCCAUCGG